rnacentral:lncRNA from 1 species
AAAUAAAAAAUAUAAAUAUAUAUUUAUAAAUAUUAAUAUAUUUAUAUUAUUUUAUAUUUCACAAAAAUAGAGGCUAUUUUUGCCUCUCUUUGUAUCCUCAGCAUUUAAUACAAUACCUGGCACAUAAGAAGUGUGGAAUAAAUGCUAGUUGACUGGCUGAUUAUGUUAAAAGAUCAUUGAGAAUCCUAACAUCAAAGUUUAGAUCUACAACAAUGACUACCUAUACUAGUAUAGGUAUACCAGAAUACCUAUACCAAUACCAGUUUUAAUAUAUAUUACUGACACUAUAAAAUAAAUGAUAAAAGAUCUGGAAGGUAGUAGCCAAACAAAAACCUCUGCAGUGUUAAUGAAACAGGAAAGCUUACUGAAAUGAAAGGAAAAAGGCAAAUAAUAAACAGGUUAAAAAUUUAUAGAAAUACUUUUGAAACAAACAGACCUCUUUUCAAAAAGUAAUAAUAAAGACUAUAAGUGUCACCUGGAUUUGCUGAAUGUAACCAAAAGUGGCUUGUCUUCAAAAUAGCUAAGAUAAAUGAAUAGAACCAAAAUGCCUUCCAUGAGUCAUAUCCACAUGAAUUCAACCAACUUUAAAAAGCCUUAUGGUGCUUUUCCUCUGCAGUCAGUUAAUACUGCAAGCAUAGAGGGUUUUUUCAUACUUUAAUAUCAUCUAGUAUUUUUCUUAUUCCUGUCUUUUGCCAUUUUCAUUUUUUCUAUAGGAGGAAAGGUUGAUGUCCAUGACCUGGAUAAAGUCCUGGGGAACCUGGGAAUGGACCUUACAGAUGAAGAGCUUCAGGGGCUGCUAAAAGUUUUGCCACUUGAAUCUGAUGGAAAGGUGGAUCUCGACAAACUGCUGGAAUUUUCAAGGUCCAUUAAAGACGGAGUCACCAGCCAAAUGUCGGUUUCUUCUGAUUCUAAGCUAAAGUAUAAACUGAAACCCCUGACAAAAAUUCCAGCAAGUCACAUCAGGUGGGUAAUUAAAAGACACAAAGAUUGAAAAGCAAUUAGAAUAGAAUGGCAAUUUUUCACCUUUUUUAUGUCCUGGACCCUUUUGGCUGUCUGGUGAAGCCCAGGGACCUCUUCUCAGAAUAAGGUUUUUAAAUGUUUGAAAUAAAAGAUAUAACAUUACAAAGGACA